rnacentral:rRNA from 1 species
UACGUAGGUGGCAAGCGUUGUCCGGAUUUACUGGGCGUAAAGAGCGCGCAGGCGGUCGUUCAAGUCGCGUGUGAAAGCCCCCCGGCUCAACUGGGGAGGGUCACUCGAUACUGAUCGACUUGAAGGCAGGAGAGGGAAGCGGAAUUCCCGGUGUAGUGGUGAAAUGCGCAGAUAUCAGGAGGAACACCAGCGGCGAAGGCGGCGCUCUGGGCCGAUACUGACGCUGAGGAGCGAAAGCGUGGGGAGCGAACAGG